AAAUUGAAGAGUUUGAUCAUGGCUCAGAUUGAACGCUGGCGGCAGGCCUAACACAUGCAAGUCGAGCGGUAACACAGGGAGCUUGCUCCUGGGUGACGAGCGGCGGACGGGUGAGUAAUGUCUGGGAAACUGCCUGAUGGAGGGGGAUAACUACUGGAAACGGUAGCUAAUAC
rnacentral:rRNA from 1 species